GAUAGCCCUUCUGUGGCGGCUUGGUAUAAGGGUGGGACAGGAGGGGCUGAGAAGUAAUGAGAUGUAUCUACCUUGUAGAGCGUCAGCCUGUGAGACCAGGGAGACUCACGAAUUACCCAUGCGAGUUAAUGGGCUCUGCACAUUUCUUCUGUGUUCGUCUUCCCUGCUUGGAGCAAGAAUGUGCAGGUCGGGCUCAUACCAUGUGAGACACAUCUGCUCCUGGCAGUACCCCCAAUCUACUUCAAAGAAGAUGAUGGGCAUUGAAGAACCUCCUCAUGGAGUUUGCUUCAAACAUGGCAAAGGUAGCCCCUGGGCAGAAAGUUGCUCUUACCUCAACAGCUGACAACAGGCUGUCCAAACUGUGGACAAGCAGGACACUGGAAAAUCGACUGUCCAACUUUGCAGAGAUAAGGUAGGCCAGUCCUUUAAAAUUCCUGCUUCAUAGAAAGGUCUCUCAGAUAUUCUGGGCUUGUAGGCCAAAGAUGGACGCC